CCUACGGGAGGCAGCAGUGGGGAAUAUUGCACAAUGGGGGAAACCCUGAUGCAGCGACGCCGCGUGAGUGAAGAAGUAUUUCGUUAUGUAAAGCUCUUUUAGCAGGGAAGAAAAUGAUGGUACUUGAGGAAGAAGCCCCGGCUAAUUACGUGAAAGCAGCAGCGGUAAUACGUAGGGGGCAAGCGUUAUCCGGAUUUACUGGGUGUAAAGGGGGCGUAGACGGCAGUGCAAGUCUGGAGUGAAAGGCGGGGGCUCAACCCCCGGACUGCUCUGGAAACUGUACGGCUGGAGUACAGGAGAGGUAAGUGGAAUGCCUAGUGUAGCGGUGAAAUGCGUAGAUAUUAGGAGGAACACCAGUGGCGAAGGCGGCUUGCUGGACAGUAACUGACGUUGAGGCACGAAAGCGUGGGGAGCAAACAGGAUUAGAUACCCCUGUAGUC
rnacentral:rRNA from 1 species